GUAUUUGAACGAUAAUUAGGUACCUUUAUGGUUUAAAAGGGAAUUCGGUGAAAUGCCGAAGCUGUCCCCGCAACUGUAAGUGUGGACGACUGUUGAAAUAGCCACUGCGAGAAAUCGUGGGAAGGUCGACAGGAGGGUGAAGCAUGAGCCAGUAGACCUGCCUUUUCAUCGGUGAAGCA
rnacentral:ncRNA from 2 species